rnacentral:lncRNA from 1 species
CCCUUUUGGGUUGAUGAAAAUGGAACUAGAUAGGGAUGGCAGUGGUACAACAUUUGACUAUCCUAAAUGCCUCUGAAUUGUUCACUUUAAGAUGGCUGUUUUUAUGUUGUGUGAAUUUCACCUCAAAAAAAUUAUUCCUUUCUUUUCAACGAAAAUGGAGCGUUGACUGUGUUUCACAUACUGUUGAAUGUCCUGGGGACAUAUUGACGAGGAAGACGCCCAAGAUGCCCACCCCACAGAGCAUAAGGUCUAGUGAAACAUACAGCCCCCCGGUACAUAGUUGUGUAUUCUUCGUUGUGGGUCCUUCUAGUUGUGGCAUGUGGGAUGCUGCCUCAGCGUGGUCUGAUGAGCAGCACCAUGUCCGCUCCCAGGAUUCGAACUAACGAAACACUGGGCUGCCUGCAGCGGAGCGCGCGGAUUUAACCACUC